AAACACAUGAAUAUGUAUUGUAUGUAUUAUGUGCUGCUCGUGCUUACAGAUCUGAACUCUUACCACUCUCUGCCUCCUCAAGAGAGAUUGCAGAUACAGAAACCAAGAGAGGGAGAGGGGGAGAGGCAGUCUGUGAGAGUAAAGAGUGAAUAGUGAGAGAGUGCUGUUAGCAGUACUCAGUACCGCCUUUGCAAGCCCGCUUGUUAUAUUUCAAACCCAACUGAUUCCAAGCGAGAGAGAGAAGGGGUACCUCAAACCUUCACAAUCCUUUGUUUCUUGCUUGCUUCUGUUUUUUCUCUCCUAGAAGUAAAAACCCAAGAAGCAAUGGAUCCUUUUGAAGCCACAAACGUAGUAUUCUCAAAGAUAAAAUUUUUGGAGCCAGAGAAUGCGUCAAAGAUCAUGGGGUACCUUCUGAUACAGGACCUUGGAGAGAACGAUUUGAUACGCUUGGCACUUGGGUCAGAGACAUAUCUGCAGGCACUCAUCUUCAAAGCCAAAACCCAGUUGGGUCUUCCCUCGAAUAUUAUUUCUACACCCCUUACACCUUCCUCCCCUUCGCCUCUCAAUCCCAUAGCCAGACCAACCAACGCCAACCCUUUUUCACGCUCCUCACCUAGACUCCCCAAUGGCUUUGACUUUCAUAAAAACCCAUCUACUGCCUCCUCAAAUUCUUGGCUACUCUCUGGGUUCCCAAACAAGCCCAUUAGCCCAAAGUCAAGUCCUUUGCUAACCUACGAUAAUAUCCGCGCCGGGUCGCUUGCUUCACGUUCAUUCCCAUAUAGCAAGAAUGGCUUUGAGAACGGUAGUGGCACUAACACUGACCUCAUUGACGAGCACCACCUCAACGAGUACCUCUCCUUCCUCAACGACUCUUCAUCUUCAUCCAGGACCGAAGAUUUGCUCGAUCCAGGAUUCGAAUUUGGUCAUGAAGUACACAAUUGGGCACAUUCUGCCAAUCAUGGAGAAACCCAUCUUCACAGAAGGAGCUAUUCGGCUAGCGAAGCGUGUUUUGCGUCAGAAGAACCUGGCUUGGAAUCUGGGUACAAACCCUGCCUUUACUUUGCCAGAGGGUUUUGCAAAAAUGGCAGCAAUUGCAAGUUUGUGCACGGCGGGUUUGUUGAUUCGGUUGAUAUUCCUUCGGGUCCCAUUGUGGGUUGCCCGAGUAAGUUCGAGGAGUUGGAACUGCAGGAGGAGAUGAUGAGAUUGAAGGCUGCGCAGCAGCAAAGAUUGGCUGCGCAGCAGUUCAUGGCUGGAGUAUCACCGUCACAGUCAGCGUACAACAAGUACAUGAAUUUUCUCUUGCAGCAGCAGACCGAACCCCAGAGAGCGGUGGCAGCUCCGACAGCAUUUAUGAUGGGGGAAGAUUUUUUCAAGUUUGGCCGCUGCCGGCCAGAGAGGAAUGACUUUUUGGCAAUGGCAUCUACAGAAAAGUUGAAUUCGGCUUCGAGGCAGAUCUACUUGACCUUUCCAGCGGACAGCACUUUUAAAGACGAAGAUGUUUCCGAGUACUUCAGCAAUUUUGGACCAGUCCAAGAUGUGAGGAUUCCAUACCAGCAGAAGCGAAUGUUUGGGUUUGUUACAUUUAUCUACUCAGAAACUGUGAAACUCAUUUUGGCCAAAGGGAAUCCUCAUUUUAUAUGUGAUUCACGUGUGCUUGUCAAGCCCUACAAGGAGAAGGGAAAAUUUCCGGACAAAAGGCAACAACAGCAACUGGAGAGGGGAGAGUUUUCACCUUGUUCAAGUCCCUCUGGGCUCGACUCUAGAGAAUCCUAUGAUCUACCCCAUGCACCUAGAAUGUUUUAUAAUACGCAAGAAAUGAUAUUGAGUAGAAAAUUAGAGGAGCAGACUGAACUACAGCAAGCAAUUGAACUUCAAGGAAGAAGACUGAUAAAUUUGCAGCUUCCGGACUUGGAUGAACGUAUACACCACCACCAGCGCAGUCUGUCUGUUGGUUCUCCUGUUCUCUUAACUGCUCAGCUUCAUGCUAAUGUCAAUCAAAGUGUCAUCCUCCCAUCUGUUGGAACCAAACAAGAUGUUGCACAAGGUCACAGUGACAAUUCUGCUGCAGCUGCUGAACAUCUGCUUUUGCAGGAAGCGAAUCCAGCUUGUAUUCACAAUAAUCACAAUGCCAACAGCAAGGAGGACAUCUUCCAUGCUGAAGAGUUUGAUCUCCAGAAAAGUGUAGAGCAGGUACUUCCCGAUAGCCUUUUGCCUUCUCCUACCAAAUCAGUAGGGGAUAAUCUCUGUGUCAUUUCUGCUGCUGUGUUGGAGGUUAAUGAGAGCUCCGCAUUCUCCACUACUCUGUAUUCUUCUGGAAAAGAUUUAUCACUCAGCAAUUCAACUAAUGACAAAGCUUCCAAAUAAUAUCGAAAUGCCAAGCCUUUGUAAUAAACGUGAGCAUGGCUAAACGGACUGACUUUCGGAAAUCAUAGAGAAGCUUAUAAAAGGGCGAAAAAUCCUUCAAAAAAUAUAGGAGAUUAUACCUACAUCAAAGAGUAGAUCCAUAGAGAAGAUAUGAACGAGUACAUCACCAUCAUCGGCAAUACAUACUACUACUAACAGCAAAUACAUAUUCCAUACAUCAGGACAGAUGAUUCUGAGUAGAGAAGGGUGUUUCUCUUCUACCGCCGUAACGACGCUGUAUGUGUUUCUGGACCACACUGACUGGAGCAGUACAAAGGAUUGUAACUUCUAUCACACUGUCAGCUACACAUUUUCUUUCUUUUUACCCUAUUUAUGUUGGGAGAUGUGGUUCAGUAGAAUUGGACUUUAUGCCAGAGGAUUAGACAAGACAAAUAUGUACAGGCUACUGUGUUAGCAAACAAAGGAAGUUUAGAGGAAAAUGACUUCCCAUCCACGCUUAUAUUUUUUUAAUUUUCCCUUUCUGAGCAGUAGAUAAUCAAACUAGUAGAACACGACAAAUAAGAGUAAAAAUUCCCUUCAUUGUUAUCA